AUGGAUGCCUUGACUCUGGAGUCCGAUGAAGGACGUAGCCAGCUGCGAAAAGCCUCGGUGAGCCGCUAGGCAGGCGUUACCAACCGGGGAUGUCCGAAUGGGGAAACCUGCCGGCCGUUAUGGGCCGGCAGCUCAGCAUCUUCAUGGUGCUGGGCUGGUCACUCUGCGAACUGAAACAUCUCAGUAGCAGGGGAAAAGAAAUCAAAUAUUUACCCCUCCGUAGCUCCGCAAGGAGCGAAGGGGGGCGAGAUUCCCUUAGUAGUGGCGAGCGAAAAGGGAAUAGCCUAAACUUGUGAGCUUGCUCACAGGGGUUGCAGGAGCCCAAUAUCCGAUUUUUCUUUACUAGACGAAUGACCCUGGAACGGGCAGUCAUAGAGGGUGAGAGCCCCGUAGUCGAAAGAAUGAAGAACGGUAGGGAUUUCCUAAGUAAGGUCGGACACGUGAAAUCCGGCCCGAAUCUGGGUGGACCACCAUCCAAGGCUAAACAGCUCCAGAGAUCGAUAGCGGAUAGUACCGCGAGGGAAAGGUGAAAAGCACCCCGAAAGGGGGAUGAAAUAGUUUCUGAAAUGUGAUGCGUACAAGGAGUCGGAGCCCGCAAGGGUGACGGCGUGCCUUUUGCAUAAUGAGCCAACGAGUUUGUUCUCAGUGGCUUGGCUAAGGGAGCAAUUACCCGGAGCCAGAGCGAAAGCGAGUCCGAAUAGGGCGCCAAAAAGUCGCUGGGACAAGACCCGAAACCGGGUGAGCUACCCAUGGGCAGGGUGAAGGUCGGAGAAAUCUGGCUGGAGGCCCGAACCAUUUGGUGUCGCAAGACCAAGGGAUGACCUGUGGGUUGGAGUGAAAAGCUUAUCGAACCCGGAGAUAGCUGGUUCUCUUCGAAAUGCCUUUAGGGGCAGCCUUGUCAUACAUGAUGGGGGGUAGAGCUACUGUUUGGAUGCGGGGGUCUCUUCGACCUACCAAAUCCAGAUAAACUCCGAAUACCCAUCGUUGAAGGUGACAGGAGUGAGACGGUGACGGCAAACCGCCAUCGUCGAAAGGGGAACAACCCAGAUCAUUCGCUAAGGUCCCCAAAUACCGUUGAAUGGAAAAGGAAGUGCCAUUGCUUGGACAACCAGGAGGUUGGCUUAGAAGCAGCCAUCCUUUAAAGAAAGCGUAACAGCUCACUGGUCAAGCAGUGGUGCGCCGAAAAUGUAACGGGGCAAAACGGUAUACCGAAGCGGUGAGUGUUCUGUACCUUUGGGUACAGGAUGCAGUAGAAGAGCGUUCCCUGCAGCAGUGAAGUUCGUUUGUGAAGACGGAUGGAGCGCAGGGAAGUGAGAAUGUUGGCAUGAGUAACGACAAGGCAGGUGAAAACCCUGCCCGCCGAAUCCCCAAGGUUUCCCACGCUAUGGCGAUCAGCGUGGGGUUAGUCGAUUCCUAAGGUCAGGCCGAAAGGCGUAGCCGAUGGAGAACAGGUCAAUAUUCCUGUACCUCUCGAGAAUCGCCAGAGGGAUAAGGUUGAACAUUUGUCCGGCCUCUGUCCCGCACCACUCUGUCCUUUAUAGAAGAGGAUAGGGUGGUGUGGGGUAUGUCAGAUAAAAAGGAUACCUUUUCUCUAGGAGCGUUGUGACGGAGCGGGACAAUCAGAGCGCGCGUUCAUGAUAGCGCGUGGAACACGUAAGACGUUGAUUUCUGUCGGCAAAUCCGCAGAAAGAGUCGAGCGUGGACCCCGAUAACCCUGCUUUACCGCAGGAUGAGUCUGUACCGUUCUGCUUCCAAGAAAAUCAUCGCAUCCGAUGAAACUCGUGAGACCGUACCGUAAACCAACACCGGUGGGGUGGUCGAGUAGACCAAGGCGCAUGGGAUAACUCGCGUUAAGGAACUCAGCAAUGAAGCGUCCGUAACUUCGGGAUAAGGGCUGCCACGUGUAGUCUUAUACGUGGUCGCAGCGAAAGAGCUCAGGCGACUGUUUAUCAAAAACACAGGUUCCUGCAAACCCGUAAGGGGAAGUAUAGGAGCUGAUGCCUGGCCAGUGUCAGUAGGUCACGGAAGGGGGUUUACGCCUCCGACUUAAGCCCUGAUGAACGCCGGCCGUAACUAUAAAACGGACCCAAGUUGUAGUUACGUAAAUAAAUCUGACUGUAUGCUGGAAAAUCUGAGUAUCUGGCGGUACUUGCAUCUAUGGUGUACGACUGUACACUUUUGAUAUGAGUGAUAAUCCGACCAGUGCAGACGAUCAGCAGGAAAGACUUUGUACAAUUCCAUCUGUAAUCGGUCAUUAUUUGGCCGGGUUCACAGAUGGAGAAGGUAGUUUUAAUAUUUCUUUCCGACGGCGAAAGGAUUAUCAUUUUUCAUGGAAGGUCUCUGCGUGUUUUAAUAUCUCUCAAAAAGAGAGAUCAAUCCUCGAAAUUGCUCAAAGAUAUCUAGGAUGUGGGACUAUUCGUCCCCGCCCAGAUGGUGUUUGGUAUUAUGAGGUAAAUACAUUAGGAGAUAUCCAAAGGAAUGUGAUUCCUUUCUUCAAACAAUUUCCAUUUCUUUCUCAAAAGAAACAAAGAGAUUUUGCAAUUUUUUGCAAAAUUGUCCCGUUGCUCUUGGCGAGGGAACACCUUCUUCCAGAAGGUGUAAAAAAAAUUCUCUCGUUAAGACGUGUUAUGAAUGAUGGAGGAAAAAGGAAAUUCUCAGAAGAAGAAAUAUUACAAAUGUAUAGAGAAUCCUCAGAGACUAUACGUCAGACUCCGCACCAAGAUGCGGAGAAGAUAUAGUCCGAUCUCAUAAGCGAUUAUGAGUAGUGACAUUAUUUGUUACCAACAAUGUCACAACUCCGCUAAGCGGAGGAACACAUGAACGGUCCUAUGGUAGCGAAAUUCCUUGUCGGGUAAGUUCCGACCCGCACGAAUGGUACAACGGUCUGAGCACUGUCUCGACGCGAGGCCCAGUGAAAUUCCAUUCUUGGUGCAAAUGCCAAGUCGAUCACGGAAGGACGAAAAGACCCUAUGAAGCUUUACUAUACGUUGGCAUUGUGGCCUUGAUUUGCGUGUGUAGGAUAGGUGGGAGGCUAUGAAGCCCUGGCGCCAGCCGGGGUGGAGCCGUCGGUGAAAUACCACCCUCGUGUUUCGAUGUUACUCACCUGCUGCUCGAAUACAGGCAGCGGGGACAGUGCUUACCGGGUAGUUUAACUGGGGCGGUUGCCUCCUAAAAUGUAACGGAGGCGCGCAACGGUCACCUAGCGCCGGAUGGAAAUCGGCGUGGUCGUGUAAUCGCACAAGGUGGCCUAACUGUGAGGCUAACGAGCCGAGCAGAGACGAAAGUCGGCGAUAGUGAUCCGGCACCCUGAGUCGUUUUUUAAAUGACUCUCUCCACGUGGGUGGGGUGUCGCUCAACGGAUAAAAGUUACUCUAGGGAUAACAGGCUGAUCGCAUCCAAGCGCCCACAGCGACGAUGCGGUUUGGCACCUCGAUGUCGGCUCAUCGCAUCCUGGGGCUGUAGAAGGUCCCAAGGGUUGGGCUGUUCGCCCAUUAAAGCGGUACGCGAGCUGGGUUCAGAACGUCGUGAGACAGUUUGGCCUCUAUCCUCCGUGAUCAUCAAGAGACGUGAG
rnacentral:rRNA from 1 species